UGUUGGUCCUCCCGCAAUGCUAACUUGUGAACUCGGUCAGGUCCGGAAGGAAGCAGCCGCAGCAGGCGACGCGUGUGCCGGGAUGUCAGUUACAG
rnacentral:SRP_RNA from 1 species